AAGGAAUGUUCACAUUCUACUCUGAAGAUAUACAUCCAGCACUUAAAAUCCCUGACACCUGCCAAUGGAAAUCAGGCCAAAUCCUACCACAGUAUGCUUCUAAAACUGGAGAUAUUUUCAAAUGCACUAUCCCGAACUGGACUGUUACCUCAAAAUGAACAACAGACUUGUAAGACAUCGGCUGCAAACAUUGAAGAUCUACUCGAACGUCUGAAAGAAUUCUUGCAAAAUGUGAACCUUUAUUUGAGAAACACGCAAUGAGCUAUCGAGGGCCUCCUUUUUUUUCUUCAUUUGGUUUUUGUUCAAGAGAAUUGUGAUGUCUUCCAUUUCAAUAGUUUUCGGGAAGGAACCUGAAUGCUUAUUUGGCUUUCAAUUUUUGUUUACGUGUGUGUGGUGGUGGUGAUGGGGAUCCAUACAACUAGGACAUUGUCUCUUUUAAGCUGGCAAACAUAUGCCUCCUUACUAGGAUGUAAUGCAUAGGAUCAAGCUACAAAUUUUCCAAAAAUGUGUGCCAAAAGUACUAUUUAUUUAUUUAUUUAUUUAACUAUUUAUUAACAUAAUAUUUAAUUAUCUGUCAAUAUAUAUUGUGCAUGGGUGUGUUUGUUGGAUCAGAUAUUUAUUUCUGCAGGGGAAACGAGGUGUUUAGUCAUUUUGGCAAUCUUUUUUCUCAAGCUUUCAAACUUUGAAUUGGAUGCCGAAUUGCUUCUAUGGACCCAAUUCCUCUUGAAGUUAACAUUCUAUAUAAAAACAGCAUCACUUUCAAAUGGGCACAUGAGAGAGAGAUUUGGGGGCCAUGGUGAAACUUAAGUUGAGGAAAAUUUAUCUCAACUUGGAACUUUAACUUUUCUUUAAAGCUUGGUAUAUUUAUAAAUUAGAGUCAUCCUUCUGGAUUCAUUCGCCCACAGCAGGCCUGCACAACCAGUGGUCCUCCAGGUGUUUGGGACUCCAACUCCUAGAAGCCUUAGCCAGCUUGCCCAAUAGCCAGGAAUACAUGGCUACAAUAGUCCAAAACAUCUAGUGGGUCACAGGUUGUGUAGGCCAGAUUAAUAACAUGGAAAUAUAUAUUUUAAAACAUUCCAAAAAGAAAACUUUGAUUUUGCCAUUUUAUAUAAAGAAUAACAUUUUACUACUAUGUAGUGGGACUUGAGCAUCUAUGGGAGUUCUGCAGACCAACUUAUGGGAUUCUUCAAUCUCUUUGUCCAUGACCCAGAUAGCAAAAGCUAUAAUACUGACUAUAGAGAAAAUAUAACAUUAUAUAAUGUGUAAUUUUAAUUUAUGUUCAAAUAAAAUUGUAGGUGACAACUAUCUAUUUCUCUAUUUAUUUAUAUUUUGACUGCAGCCUCAUGUUGAGGAUUAAAAGAUAUAAACUUUUAAAAAUCAGAAUAUGAGUUGCAAAUGAACUAUAUGUUUUGUAUGAUUAAAAACAGUAACUGGCAUCUUGUUCAAUAUUCAUAAGAUUGCAAGCCACCUUUAUAAUCUCAUAACUUUGGAGAUUUGAGAUUAAGGUUAUUAAUGAACAAAUGUGAUCCCCCAAACCUACCUUUUGUGCUGGGCAGCUCCAAAGGGUUUCCAAGGUGCUAAAGAUGACGUGCUGGGAAAAUACCAGUGUAGUCACAUAGCACUUUGAGACAGGUGGCUGGAGAGAUCUCUCCAGCUACUGCCUUGGCUAUUUGUCUGAAGGAUGCACAUGACUAGAAGAGUGCUGCUGUCAUCACUUCUCAACAUUUCAGUCUGCAGCACCUCAGAAGCCCUUCAAUUGGGGUGAUACCUGGCUGAGGAGGUGCUUUUUUGCGGGGGGGGGGGGGGAGAGAUGUAUCUGAAAAAGUAGCUCUGAUAAUAGAGACAUGUUGUCAUGGCUAUUUCUUAUGAUGCAGGAUCUCAGGCAAUUGAUUUAUUUAGCGGGAUUAGAUAUUUGCAACACAGGCCAAAAAGAAAUGUAUUUAUGAAAGUUUUGUAACAAUGAAUGUACACAUUUUGCAUUGAAUAAAUUAUUUUGUAAAAAUCUGGUAUUUCAUCUUUUUCUCGAGAUAAAUCUUCCUUUUCUUCCUGAAAAAGUGUGUCUGAAGAGGUUGAGCUGCCAAAACAGGCUUUGUGGCAUGAAACUGCUAUCCAACUGCUUCCAUGACUUUU
rnacentral:lncRNA from 11 species